GUGGGAACCGAGCGUUAUCCGAAUUUACUGGGGGGCGUAAAGCGCGUGUAGGGCGGGUUCGGGUAAGUUGGGAUGUGAAAGCUCCCGGCUCAACUGGGAGAGGACGUUCAAUACUGUCGGACUAGAGGGCGGCAGAGGGAGGUGGAAUUCCCGGUGUAGUGGUGAAAUGCGUAGAUAUCGGGAGGAACACCAGAGGCGAAGGCGGCCUCCUGGGCCGCACCUGACGCUCAGACGCGAAAGCUAGGGGAGCAAACGGGAUUAGAAACCCCGGUAGUCCUAGCCGUAAACGAUGUAGACUAGGUGUCGGUGGGGUAAAAGCCAUCGGUACCGCAGCUAACGCAGUAAGUCUACCGCCUGGGGACUACGGUCGCAAGGCUA
rnacentral:rRNA from 1 species